AUGUACCUCUCGUACAGUCCGGUUCUGAGCGCGCCGUCCGCGCCCACCUGACAGCUGCGCGCUACGUUUUGUAAGCC
rnacentral:sRNA from 1 species